GGGCGGUUAGCUCAGCGGGAGAGCACUGCCUUCACACGGCAGGGGUCGCAGGUUCGAACCCUGCACCGCCCACCA
rnacentral:tRNA from 2 species